UUUUUUCCCCAGGCUCUCGCGGGUUUCCCCUGCCAGGGAAUCCACUCGCUGUAGUUUUCUAGGGCUCUGGUCCCAGUCCCUUCUGAAGCGCGCUUGCAGGCUGUCUUCCUCAGUCGCCCUCUCCCUGGGUGCUGUUUUGCUGGGCAGCAUCCCAUGCUAGGCUCGGCAGACAUUCUGGCGGUUGGGUUCGGCCCUUGCAGCGCUAACACCUGCAGAGUCGAGGCUCCUGCCAAAAGGCAGAAAGCAAAGGAGGAAAAAAUUCAUUGUCAUAAUAGCGAAAAUGAUAAACCUCAGCUGUUUAAGAGAAGAACGUCUGAGUAGCUGUUGAUUACCUCCCAUAAUCACAAAAGAACUUUUUUUUUUAAAAAAAGAAUUUGCACUUUUCGUCUGUUAAAACGCGGUCAUUCUUUUGCUUUCAAAUCGAACUUCACGACAGUUAGCAACUUCAAGAACGCUUCCAAAUGGAUAAAUCUUUCCAGAAGAUUUCUUGCUUCAAAACAGCUGCAUUUUUGGAAGAAAGUCCACAACUGACAACUAAGCAAAACCUUCCUGGUGGAUAGCAUAAAUCUGCUUUGUUGAAGCUGCUCAUUUGUCUGAUCUAUGAGUCCAGAAGAUGCAAACUCCCUUCCCAGCUUAUGCAAAAAUACUUCCAGUAAAAACAAGCCCUUUGGCCCUUUUCUUCUGUCAGUCCAGAUUUCAGCAUGUUCUUCGCUUUGUUAUUCAUCAUUUUAUGUAUUUGGACCCAUCCUCAAACAGACUUUAAACCGUUUAAAGGCAAGGAGGGACUCUUUCCUAAACCUUUAAUCCCCUGGCCCAGCUGAGUAGAUGCACAGUGUCUUUUGAUGAUGGUGAUAUAGAAUGAUUAAUAACCACACAAGGCAUUCGGUUGGUCAAGUCACUGUUUAUUGGCUCAAAAUAAUCCUUGGCUUCCAUAUGUCUAUAGCUCACUUCCUAAACAGUUAAAUCCGGAGAGUCUAAUAGAUGAUAGUUGGUGAUCAUAAAUAUAAAUAACCAAUACAUU
rnacentral:antisense_RNA from 1 species